rnacentral:rRNA from 1 species
UACGUAGGUGGCAAGCGUUGUCCGGAUUUAUUGGGCGUAAAGCGCGCGCAGGCGGUCUUUUAAGUCUGAUGUGAAAGCCCACGGCUCAACCGUGGAGGGUCAUUGGAAACUGGAAAACUUGAGUGCAGAAGAGGAAAGUGGAAUUCCAUGUGUAGCGGUGAAAUGCGCAGAGAUAUGGAGGAACACCAGUGGCGAAGGCGACUUUCUGGUCUGUAACUGACGCUGAUGUGCGAAAGCGUGGGGAUCAAACAGG